UUUAAGUUACAAAAGCCUCAGACAGUCUUUUGUCUUACCUCCCCCUUAACUGCCUAAAUUAACUUAGAUAAAGGGCCUGGUCCAGGAAGAGCAUUAUCACUAGAAAUGACUGGAAAGAAUAUGGGCUAGAUGUGUUAGAUGACACUUGGAGAUGCUGGGGAACAAUCCUUCCUGUGUCACUUGGUCUCUUGCAUGGCAGAGCAAACAUUUGUUUGCCAAACAUUUGUUUUUCCAGCUCUAUGUUAAUUCCCUUUCUCCCCUUUGAAGUCCCAAACUCUUACCCACUUCUCUCUCUCUCUCAGAUGGUGUCAAUCGAAAACUAAUACAGGAGGCUGCAAAUAAGAAAAGAGUUUAUUUGAGGAAUUGAGGACUGCCAUUCAGGAGACACAGAUUUGGGUAAUCCUCUAAGUAUUACCAAGCCCAAACUCAUACUGCUCGCCACCUGACAGGCCAAUCAAUGGAGAGACAAAGGGUUGGGGCAGGAAAUAGCAACUUUUCCAGGAAAGCCAGCAGACUGAGAAGAUGGCAUACUAACGUCCUAAAGAACUGUCUUGCCCAGAGAGAUAUUUGGCAGCAGAAACUUUAAACUGUGUUUUGGAGCCAGAGAGGAAUAUUCCUGAAGCUGCCAUCCACAUCCUGAAGCAACUUGACGCUGAGACUCAGGAGCCUUCUAAAAGACACGCCUUUGAGAUCAACACACGUGGAAGGAGGAGAAGGAAGCUGGACUAGGCUGAUAGAGAAGGCAAACUGAGAUGUAGGUCCAGCGGCUUCCACCAACCCCACAGACAGCCCAAAGCAUCUGAGUUGUCCCACACUGGGCUGAAAUGGCUGGGAUGACAUACUCGUGCUUCCAUCCAUCAUUGGGUAGGGUGUUACCUUAGGCAAAGUGGCUACCUGUAGCUGAGGCUGACCCUGAAGGGGCCCAUAGCUGAGGGUUAUCUGCUGACAGCACUCCCAGCAGCUGGGCAAGUCCUUCCCUUAAUUGGGACCUGGGAUUUCACCAUCCCUGUGUCCCCUACAAAAGCCUGAGACUUAGUGGUUCCAACCACUGAAAUGUGGACAUGAAAAAUUAAUGUGAUCUUACAACAUCGUAAAUCAACUAUACUUUAAUUU